CUCCAGGUUAAUAAACCUAGUUUCCCUCCUUCCUUGGAGAUAGUCCAGGGUGAUAAAGAUAAUAUCAUCCCACUGAGUCAGAAGGCAGAUUUGUUUCCUGAUCAGGAUAAUAAAGACAAUGCCUCUUGCUAUAGGGGUGGAGGAGGAAGUUUACCAGCAGCUCCUUUAAAAGAUUGGAUUAGCUGUGACACAGAUCCACUGUGUGUGCAGCAUCUUCUUGGGCCUACCUCUGUGUCUCUUCCAUGGUACUUGGGGGACGAGGGGACCAAAUGUGAACAUGAAGCUCAUGCCAUCAGCUGUGCCAUGUGUAAUAAACUGGAAAGACCCAUUUGGGCUCGUUUUCUCCUUACUGAUUGAAUCUAUGGAAGUUUGGCAGACUGACCUGGCAGCUGCUGUGUGACUGCUGUUCAGGAUUUGUUUGGCUGCUCAACAGAAGGGAAAAUUUGGACAAAGAUGCAUGAAGGAAAGAUCAUGUGAAGACAUAAAGAAAAGACACCUAUCCAUAGCCAAUGAGAGAGACAUCAGAAGAAACCAACCCUGCUGACUCCUUGGUUUUGGACUUCCAGCCUCCAGAACUUAGAUGAGAUGUUCAGAGCUAUGGCAGCCCUGGAACAAUGAAGGUGACAAGAAUAAA